UUGUACCUUAUAAAGAGCUGAGGAAUGUAAAAGUUUUGAUCUUUUUGUUUGUUCUAACUGCCUCAAUGUGGGAUUCUUAGCAUUUUCUAGAGUAACUAUUUCUCAUUAUUUAUUCUUAUAAAGUCAUAGAAUUAUGGACUUUGAGCUGGAAAGAGCCGUAGCAAUAAGCUACACUAUGUGAGUCCACCAGCCUUUGCACUUCCUCCUGGAGGCUGCAGGGUUUAGAACAUUUCAGCAAUCCUCCAGGCUUCCUGCUUUCCCCGCCCUCUUCUGGGUGUUCCAGCUCUAUCUCAGUGCUUGAUAAGGGACAUUAUGGAGAAGUGCACCCGUUGUGGGAGAAAGCACAUUGGUCCCCAAACGAUUGCAGGAUAAGGAAGUACAAAAUCUCCUUCCGUUUGGUUCAGUCUUUCAUUCCAGCCCACUGGUUGGUUUUGUCUGUGAAUGUGGAGGGGAAACCCCAGCACAUCGGGGACUGCAGUUUGGAGGAAAUACAUGUCCAUCACUUUCUGUGAUGGCUUUUUCCCUGCUCUGCAGUCUGUUAAGUUAUUUGUACCUUAGAUAUUGUCAUUGUAUUUUUGUCUAUUUUCCCAGGAGGCCUUGAAGCAAGGGUGAUGAACAAGAUAUGCUACCUGACCAUAGUUUUUAAAGGCGUGUGUACCCUUUCAUGGUGCGAUAAGAGCACACUUUUCUUUUUAGGCGUUUGCUGCAGCAGUCAGGAUGCAGCCGGGUGAGUGAGGCCUGUGAUCAUAAACUGAAACUUCACCUUCCACCCCUGUGUUAAGUUUGAGUUUGUGAAUAACAAAUUAUUAUUUUUGACAGAAAGGACAUAGUGAAAAUAAGUAUAUCACAAAGAAAAAAAUAUAGGUGUUUUGAAUCUGAUAAAGAUGUAAUAUGUUCAUAUAUCUGAGGAGACAGUGUCAGCAGUAGGGGGCGCUCAUCUCGGUGGGGGUCAGUGUAGAUUUACAGUGUUUCCGAAAUAGUGACCCAUCUGACAGAGAUGAUCUGGCCUCUGAUGUAGUGGGUUGGUCUCCCGCUCUCCUGCCCACCCAAACUCCUGCUACUUGGAAGGUUAACAGCAGGCAUGGGGAGAGGACGGAGAGAUGGAGAGGUUUAGGCUGACAGCUGAUUCUCAGUAGCAGAUGGGAGGGAAAUUAUCUUUAGCAGGCAAAGGUAAAGCAGAUUUUAUUUUUGAAUUUUUAUUAUGUGAGGAGUGUUGCACAAAGUUUUUUAUUGGUUUGCAUGCUUUUUAAAAUCCCCUCCUCAGAGAUAAGUCAGAAGUCUGUGGUUGUGUUGGGGUUUUACAGAUCCUUUUCUUCUUUCUUACAUUGAAUGGCAGCUGUUAUUACCCCACAUGCCUACCUACUUUGGGGAUCCUCUCGUUUGUAUCCUUUAGUGCCAGCAUCUCCCUUUCUGGAAGUUGGGAGCUUAGAACUGAGAAGGAAGUUGGGCUACUCUACUUUCUCACCCUCCCCCCCCUAAAAAAGGGGAAACUGAGAGCCAGGGAGAGGAAAUGACUUGCUGAGCAGAGAUGGUAUCCCACUUAAAGUCUCACUGCUAUUUUGCAUCAAAGCUUGGUCUGCAGUGCUGGAUCCUGACUCCUGGUUUAGUCUUGCUCCGUUUGUAAUAUAUGUACUCCUCCUCUUCAUCCGGAGGAUUCCUUUGUGUUCUCUAAAAUAGAGCAAAUCUGGAAAAGCUGACAAUCAGUUAAUUUA